UAGGGAAUCUUCGGCAAUGGACGAAAGUCUGACCGAGCAACGCCGCGUGAGUGAAGAAGGUUUUCGGAUCGUAAAACUCUGUUGUUAGAGAAGAACAAGGACGUUAGUAACUGAACGUCCCCUGACGGUAUCUAACCAGAAAGCCACGGCUAACUACGUGCCAGCAGCCGCGGUAAUACGUAGGUGGCAAGCGUUGUCCGGAUUUAUUGGGCGUAAAGCGAGCGCAGGCGGUUUCUUAAGUCUGAUGUGAAAGCCCCCGGCUCAACCGGGGAGGGUCAUUGGAAACUAGGAGACUUGAGUGCAGAAGAGGAGAGUGGAAUUCCAUGUGUAGCGGUGAAAUGCGUAGAUAUAUGGAGGAACACCAGUGGCGAAGGCGGCUCUCUGGUCUGUAACUGACGCUGAGGCUCGAAAGCGUGGGGAGAAAACAGG
rnacentral:rRNA from 1 species